rfam:Pseudomonas sp. GM78 PMI35_contig70.70, whole genome shotgun sequence.
CUGUCCGAGGGGCGCUGCAGCAGGCUAGGCCUGUCAGGCUCGGAUGGGGCGUUGCUUGGCCAUCACCGGCCAGACACUAAACGCACAACGGCGCCCAUUCGCA